rnacentral:rRNA from 1 species
CCUACGGGUGGCAGCAGUGAGGAAUAUUGGUCAAUGGCCGAGAGGCUGAACCAGCCAAGUCGCGUGAGGGAAGACGGCCCUACGGGUUGUAAACCUCUUUUGUCGGGGAGCAAAGCGCGUCACGUGUGACUCAUUGCGCGUACCCGAAGAAAAAGCCCCGGCUAACUCCGUGCCAGCAGCCGCGGUAAUACGGAGGGGGCAAGCGUUAUCCGGAUUUACUGGGUGUAAAGGGGGCGCAGACGGCGGUGCAAGCCAGGGGUGAAAGCCCGGGGCCCAACCCCGGGACUGCUGUUGGAACUGGGUGGCUGGAGUGCAGGAGAGGCAGGCGGAAGUCGUGGUGUAGCGGUGAAAUGCGUAGAUAUCAGGAGGAACACCGGUGGCGAAGGCGGCCUGCUGGACUGCAACUGACGUUGAGGCCCGAAAGCGUGGGGAGCAAACAGGAUUAGAUACCCGGGUAGUC